CCCUUAGAUGUCCUGGGCCGCACGCGCGUUACACUGAUGCAUUCAACGAGCAUAUAACCUUGGCCGAGAGGCCUGGGUAAUCUUGUUAACAUGCAUCGUGAUAGGGAUAGAUUAUUGCAAUUAUUAAUCUUGAACGAGGAAUUCCUAGUAAUCGCAGUUCAUCAAACUGCAAUGAUUACGUCCCUGCCCUUUGUACACACCGCCCGUCGCGCCUACCGAUUGAAUGGUCCGGUGAGGACUCGGGAUUGUGGUUUAGCUCCUUCAUUGGGGCCUGACUGCGAGAACUUGUCCGAACCUUAUCAUUUAGAGGAAGGUGAAGUCGUAACA
rnacentral:rRNA from 1 species